rnacentral:lncRNA from 1 species
UUAGGUUUAAGUACUCUGCAGAGUUUUGCACACGUUCCCCACAAUAUUUGACCGCCUCCGUUGAAGUCAUCAUACUUCAGGGUGUUUGAGAGCCGGAUUAUCAAAACAGGGUCUUCCAAAGGGUUCCUCUGAGAUACUGUCGGUGCCCAUCCAAUCCUACCGUUCUUCUACAUCUCGUAGCACCACCCGUCCAGAGUCACCACAAUGUCCAACCAAGCCAGAGCCCAUAAUGACUUGUGGCUGUGCAGGUAAGACUCAGUUCUUGAAGAAUCCAUCCAUCUCUUUUUUCUGGGUGAAGCUUUCCGCAAGAUGUCAUGGCGCUUCCCCAUGCAUCUCGGGUCAUC